rnacentral:rRNA from 1 species
GCGGAAGGAUCAUUACCGAGUUUUCGGGCUUCGGCUCGACUCUCCCACCCUUUGUGAACGUACCUCUGUUGCUUUGGCGGCUCCGGCCGCCAAAGGACCUCCAAACUCCAGUCAGUAAACGCAGACGUCUGAUAAACAAGUUAAUAAACUAAAACUUUCAACAACGGAUCUCUUGGUUCUGGCAUCGAUGAAGAACGCAGCGAAAUGCGAUAAGUAAUGUGAAUUGCAGAAUUCAGUGAAUCAUCGAAUCUUUGAACGCACAUUGCGCCCCUUGGUAUUCCGGGGGGCAUGCCUGUUCGAGCGUCAUUACAACCCUCAAGCUCUGCUUGGAAUUGGGCACCGUCCUCACUGCGGACGCGCCUCAAAGACCUCGGCGGUGGCUGUUCAGCCCUCAAGCGUAGUAGAAUACACCUCGCUUUGGAGUGGUUGGCGUCGCCCGCCGGACGAACCUUCUGAACUUUUCUCAAGGUUGACCUCGGAUCAUGUACGAGCCCCCCC